UACAUGGGGUGCAAACGUUGCUCGGAAUUAUUGGGCGUAAAGCGCGCGUAGGCGGUUAUCUAAGUCGGAUGUGAAAGCCCUCGGCUUAACUGAGGAAGUGCACCCGAAACUGGAUAGCUAGAGUACGAAAGAGGGUCGCGGAAUUCCCGGUGUAGAGGUGAAAUUCGUAGAUAUCGGGAGGAACACCGGUGGCGAAGGCGGCGACCUGGGUCGAGACUGACGCUGAUGCGCGAAAGCGUGGGGAGCAAACAGG
rnacentral:rRNA from 1 species